rnacentral:rRNA from 1 species
UAAGGAAUAUUGGUCAAUGGACGGAAGUCUGAACCAGCCAUGCCGCGUGAAGGAAGAAGGUUCUUUGAAUUGUAAACUUCUUUUAUACGGGAAGAAAACCCUCUAUUAAUAGAGGACUGACGGUACCGUGUGAAUAAGCACCGGCUAACUCCGUGCCAGCAGCCGCGGUAAUACGGAGGGUGCAAGCGUUAUCCGGAAUCACUGGGUUUAAAGGGUACGUAGGCGGUUUUAUAAGUCAGUGGUGAAAGGUCGUAGCUUAACUACGGAAUUGCCAUUGAUACUGUAAGACUAGAAACAAGUUGAGGUUGGCGGAAUGUGACAUGUAGCGGUGAAAUGCAUAGAUAUGUCACGGAACACCGAUUGCGAAGGCAGCUGACUAAGCUUAGUUUGACGCUGAGGU